rnacentral:lncRNA from 1 species
GAGCUGGUACCUUUUUGCCUCAGUCGAGAGGUCACGACAACUCUCAAUGUACCUAUUUAAAUAAUGGAAAAGCUAGUAAGGGAUAGUUCUUAUCAGUAAGCACUACAAGCAUAUAUGCAAAAUGAAUAAAAUAGUAGAAGCCCCAACUUAUCCAGAUGAUGCACUCUAUCGGUGCUUUCUUCACCUCCUUCUGCGGUACAUCCAAUAGUUCAUUUGCAUCG